GGGGUGACGAAGAUGCAAAGAUAACAAUGGAUUCGCUAUGAAAAGCCAGGGUGAAAUGAUUGCACUAGGCUCGGAGUAAUCGACCCCUGGGUCGGGCCUCCAUCGACCUCUAGGUCGACCUCCAACCAAACCUCAGGUUGGGAUUCUGCUAGCCUUUGAGAAUGAGGUCCCUUGGUCCACAUUGACAUGGAUCCUGUUAUAGAUAAAACUCUAGUUAUG
rnacentral:lncRNA from 1 species